rnacentral:rRNA from 2 species
UGCGUAGGCGGUUUAUCAAGUCAGGGGUGAAAGGCUACGGCUCAACCGUAGUGAGCCUCUGAAACUGGUGAACUUGAGUGUAGGAGAGGAAAGUGGAAUUCCCAGUGUAGCGGUGAAAUGCGUAGAUAUUGGGAGGAACACCAGUGGCGAAGGCGACUUUCUGGACUACAACUGACGCUGAGGCACGAAAGCGUGGGGAGCAAACA